rnacentral:rRNA from 1 species
GACGAACGCUGGCGGCGUGCUUAACACAUGCAAGUCGAACGGAAAGGCCCUGCUUGCAGGGUCCUCGAGUGGCGAACGGGUGAGUAACACGUGGGUGAUCUGCCCUGCACUUCGGGAUAAGCCUGGGAAACUGGGUCUAAUACCGGAUAGGAGCCAUUUUUAGUGUGAUGGUUGGAAAGAUUUUUUCGGUGUAGGAUGAGCUCGCGGCCUAUCAGCUUGUUGGGGGGGUAAUGGCUUACCAAGGCGGCGACGGGUAGCCGGCCUGAGAGGGUGGACGGCCACAUUGGGACUGAGAUACGGCCCAGACGCCUACGGGAGGCAGCAGUGGGGAAGAUUGCACAAUGGGCGCAAGCCGGAUGCAGCGACGCCGCGUGGGGGAUGACGGCCUUCGGGUUGUAAACUCCUUUCGCUAGGGACGAAGCUUUUUGUGACGGUACCUAGAGAAGAAGCACCGGCUAACUACGUG